GAUGAACGCUGGCGGCGUGCCUAAUACAUGCAAGUCGAGCGAACAGAUGAGGAGCUUGCUCCUCUGACGUUAGCGGCGGACGGGUGAGUAACACGUGGAUAACCUACCUAUAAGACUGGGAUAACUUCGGGAAACCGGAGCUAAUACCGGAUAAUAUAUUGAACCGCAUGGUUCAAUAGUGAAAGACGGUUUUGCUGUCACUUAUAGAUGGAUCCGCGCCGCAUUAGCUAGUUGGUAAGGUAACGGCUUACCAAGGCAACGAUGCGUAGCCGACCUGAGAGGGUGAUCGGCCACGCUGGAACUGAGACCCGGUCCAGACUCCUACGGGAGGCAGCAGUAGGGAAUCUUCCGCAAUGGGCGAAAGCCUGACGGAGCAACGCCGCGUGAGUGAUGAAGGUCUUCGGAUCGUAAAACUCUGUUAUUAGGGAAGAACAAAUGUGUAAGUAACUAUGCACGUCUUGACGGUACCUAAUCAGAAAGCCACGGCUAACUACGUG
rnacentral:rRNA from 1 species